rnacentral:lncRNA from 1 species
CUAAUUCCUACAGGACAGGCCUAGGGACAGAGCGGCCCUAGGACUGCCCUCCCGCACCUCCUAGCUUCACCUUUUGCCCGCGAUCUUUAAGUACCCUGAAGCAUAAACAGGGAAAGCGCCGCCCGCAGCCUCACCCUGCUUCCCGCCCAACGCGGCACCGCCCAGGCCGCAGCCGCCCACUAAGAGCACUAGCGCCACCUUCUCACCCCACCCCCACCACGCGUUCCUAGCGGCCCUGAGAGCUGCUGCGCAUGCGCCGCCUGACGAUUCGCCCUCCCAUUGGCUGGCGGUCGAAGCACGGCGGGGGCACGCGGUGGCGGCUAUAUAAGGCGUCUCGGAAGACGGCGCCAUGCUAUUUGGAGCGGAGAGUGAAAGUUACAGUUCCUGGUGCUGGUGGGCUGCUGGCAUUCGCUAUGGAGGAGGACUGGGACACGGAGCUGGAGCAGGAGGCGGCAGCGGCUUCCCAGGGGCGUUCUGAGGAGCAGGCGUGGAUGGCUAACUCUGGCAGACCAAACAGCCCAUCCCUCCGCUUCUCCAGCAGACCAAGCAGCCCCUUGUCUGGCUUCCCAGGCAGACCAAACAGCCCCUUCUUUGGCUUUAGUCAGAAUAAAGGCUCACUU